GGAUCAGUAAGUUGGUCGUGCCUCCGGUAUGUACUGACUUUACUGGUUCCUCCUUCUUGAAGAACUGUAAUGUCAUUAAUUUGGUGUUGCAGGGAAACAGGACUGUUACUUUGAAAAAAUUAGAGUGUUUAAAGCAGGCUAACGCUUGAAUACAUUAGCAUGGAAUAAUGAAAUAGGACGUUUGAUCCUAUUUUGUUGGUUUCUAGGAUUGACGUA
rnacentral:rRNA from 1 species